CAUUAGAAAAAUUAAGGGCAGUGAUUUAGCCAAUUCUUGUUUUCCUACCUCAAAUAAAUACAAUAUUUUUAGAAACUUAAGAAAUCAAACAAAAUAUACACACAAAAAAAGCAUAAAAGUAUUACAUUAUACAAAUUUCUAGUUUUGCUUUACUUUUAAAACUAUACAUUUUAAUAGUGCUGAAUCUAACUUUGUUGGUGGGAGGUAAUGGAUAAUAGAAUCUUGGGGGAAAAAACAGUAAAAUUACAUCGGUGUUAUAAUUUCAGAUGGUUGAAGCUAAGAUGUUCUGGACAGAUAGUUUUAAAUAAGGAAUAGAACUCUGAGCUACUCCCAUUUUUCUCCUUUUCCUUGUUACUCUGGAAAAAUUGGUCUUGAUCCUGCAAGAUUGUAGAUAAUCAAAAAUAUUACAUAAAAUAAGAAACACUUUCUACUUAUCUUUGAAAUAAGUUUUGGUACUUUUAUUUGUGUUGGGUCAUGGUUGAGAUUUACUGCUCUGUUUCCAUGUAUCCUGAUUCUGUAGGCGAACAGAGCAUAAAAAAAUAGGGCCAGUUAGGGAAGCUUUGCAAUCGUGCAAAAUGUCUGCCCCUUGCUGUAUCCUCUUUCCUGUUCUCUAAGACUGCGACAAUCAGUUAGGAACAGCAAUCCUUGAGAAACCCAGGCCUCUUUUAACUCUCCAGGGACACUACUUCUAUCUGUUUUCAUGCUCCUUCUAAAGGAUCCUCCUUCAGACUAUAGCACACUUCCUGAACUUCCACCCAGUUUGCUACAUUCCCAGUCAUUUCUGCUUAGUUAGGACUUUGCCUCACCCUCAAUGGUGCUCUUUAUGUUUCACACGCAGAGCUGUCUUCUUAAAUUUUUGUUUUAAAAUGUUAUAUUUUUAACUCUAAGGGAAACAGGGUUAACAGGGUAGACAUGACAUCAAAAGGAUAAAUGUAGGGACCGACGCAGAUGUCUUUGGCAUUCUGAAAAUCUGCAGUGUAGUAGACAGAAUAAUACGAUUACACUGAAUUUGAUUGGGCAGCUCUCACUUCUGGUUCAUGAAGUGUUCCCACUUCAGAGUGGAAGGCUUCUCUCAACUAAUGCACUUGAAGUAGAUG
rnacentral:lncRNA from 1 species